rnacentral:rRNA from 1 species
UACGAAGGGGGCUAGCGUUGCUCGGAAUCACUGGGCGUAAAGGGUGCGUAGGCGGGUCUUUAAGUCAGGGGUGAAAUCCUGGAGCUCAACUCCAGAACUGCCUUUGAUACUGGCGAUCUCGAGUCCGGGAGAGGUGAGUGGAACUGCGAGUGUAGAGGUGAAAUUCGUAGAUAUUCGCAAGAACACCAGUGGCGAAGGCGGCUCACUGGCCCGGUACUGACGCUGAGGUGCGAAAGCGUGGGGAGCAAAAGGG